CGCGGCGGAGGCGGGCGAUGGCGAUCGAUGGUGACCUCCAGCGUCACCAUGGUUCCCUGGACCGCGUCGCGGAUCUUUGGCCGCGCGCGGCGG
rnacentral:tRNA from 1 species